GAUGAACGCUGGCGGCGUGCCUAAUACAUGCAAGUCGAGCGAACAGACGAGGAGCUUGCUCCUCUGACGUUAGCGGCGGACGGGUGAGUAACACGUGGAUAACCUACCUAUAAGACUGGGAUAACUUCGGGAAACCUGAGCUAAUACCGGAUAAUAUAUUGAACCGCAUGGUUCAAUAGUGAAAGACGGUUUUGCUGUCACUUAUCGAUGGAUCCGCGCCGCAUUAGCUAGUUGGUAAGGUAACGGCUUACCAAGGCAACGAUGCGUAGCCGACCGGAGAGGGUGAUCGCCCACACUGGAGCUGAGACACCGUCCAGACGCCUACGGGAGGCAGCAGUAGGGAAUCUUCCGCAGUGGUCGAAAGCUUGACGGAGCAACGCAGCGUGAGAGAUGAAGGUCUUCGGAUCGUAAAACUCUGUUAUUAGGGAAGAACAAAUGUGUAAGUAACUAUGCACGUCGUGACGGUACCUAAUCAGAAAGCCACGGCUAACUACGUG
rnacentral:rRNA from 1 species